rnacentral:rRNA from 1 species
CCUGACGGNAAGGGACGAAAGCUAGGGGCACGAAACCGGGAUUAGAUACCCGGGUAGUCCUAGCCGUUAAACGAUACUCGCUAGGUUGUNCGGGCCACGAUGCGACAGUUAGUCGCAGGUCGUAGGAGACCNUGAAGGCGAGCCACAUGGGAAGUACGACCGCAAGGCUGAGACUUAAAGGAAUUGGCGGGGGAGCACCACAACGGGUGGAGCUUGCGGUUUAAUUGGAGUCAACGCCGGA